AGUCGAGGGGUAUUGGUUUUCGGACCAGAGACCGGCGCACGGGUGCGUAACGCGUAUGCAAUCUACCUUUUACAGAGGGAUAGCCCAGAGAAAUUUGGAUUAAUACCUCAUAGUAUUAUUGAAUGGCAUCAUUUAAUAAUUAAAGUCACAACGGUAAAAGAUGAGCAUGCGUCCCAUUAGCUUGUUGGUAAGGUAACGGCUUACCAAGGCAACGAUGGGUAGGGGUCCUGAGAGGGAGAUCCCCCACACUGGUACUGAGACACGGACCAGACUCCUACGGGAGGCAGCAGUGAGGAAUAUUGGUCAAUGGGCGCAAGCCUGAACCAGCCAUGCCGCGUGCAGGAUGACGGUCCUAUGGAUUGUAAACUGCUUUUGUACAGGAAGAAACAGUUCUACGUGUAGAACCUUGACGGUACUGUAAGAAUAAGGAUCGGCUAACUCCGUGCCAGCAGCCGCGGUAAUACGGAGGAUCCAAGCGUUAUCCGGAAUCAUUGGGUUUAAAGGGUCCGUAGGCGGUUUUGUAAGUCAGUGGUGAAAGCCCAUCGCUCAACGGUGGAACGGCCAUUGAUACUGCAAGACUUGAAUUAUUAGGAAGUAACUAGAAUAUGUAGUGUAGCGGUGAAAUGCUUAGAUAUUACAUGGAAUACCAAUUGCGAAGGCAGGUUACUACUAAUUGAUUGACGCUGAUGGACGAAAGCGUGGGGAGCGAACAGGAUUAGAUACCCUGGUAGUCCACGCCGU
rnacentral:rRNA from 1 species